AUCAAAGAAUCUGGUGAUGAAGAGAAGUUUAUACAGCUCUGAGUGUGAAAAAUAUUCAAACUGGGAACAACAAAAAGAGAGUUGGCAGGAGGAGAAAACAGGGAUGAGGAGGAGGAAGGGCUGGAACAGUGACUUGCUCCAUCCCAAGCACUCAAUAAAUAUUUGUGGAAGAAUGAGGAAGACUUUGGAGAGCUCUUUUUCUCUUAGGCUGUAUCAUCAAAUAUACCCUUCCUCAGUGACCUCUCUUCCCCCGCCCUAGCCCAAUUUUCUUUCUACUCUAAAAAUCAGAAGCAAGAUUCCAAUCCUAUAUUUUACCCUCUUGCUAAUCAUGUAUGUAAUGCCCUGAGGUCAUUUUCGAAUUUCCUGUAAGGCACACACCACCCUUUCUCAUCACAGAGAGUCUUACUUGUGAGGUCAGAUGGUUCUCAGAGAUGACACGAAGGAGAAAAUUCCCAACUAAUUGUCAUUGCUUAAACCCUCUUCCCUCACAGUCUCCAGAGAUGGGACUCCGGGUUUCACAGGGACCAUUACAUCAGAAGGGUCUGUCAAGGCUUUAGUUAAUGAACCUAGUUGAGAUCAUCCCCUGCAGGGUGGGGUGCAUGCAGACCCUGGGUGUGAAGACUUCAAGGGGGAAAACCCAGGAAGUGGUCAGAUGACUCAGAGGUGGUGCUUUGUUGAGUCAGACCUAGGCACUGGCACUAUGAUGUUUCAGUGUGCAAUGGGAGACCCCGGCUCUCAAAAGAAUUUCUUCAUGCUCAUUGUCCACAAGGUCCUCGUUAGAUCCCAGGACCUCUUCCUUCUUGUUUUUGUCUUUUCAUCAUUUAACUGUGGAAUUUGUGCCUUUAGAGUCACUGUUACAUCCUGGCCAAGAAAGAGUGACCAAUUACAGAGUAAGAAACUGGGGAAACUUUCACUACCUUUUUCACGGUAAAUAAAACACACAGUAUUUCUUUUUUGAUGUUGUAGCCAUUGGAAGCUUUUUUUUUUCCAUCAAAAUACAACACAUCUUGAGCCACUUCAAUGAAAGAAAUAGUCUGCAGGUGAUGAGGUUGUAAUAUUUUUCAAUAGAAAAUAAUCUUUAUAAUGAACUUGAACAUCUAUUUAAAGAUGUGGUCAUGUACUCUUUCCUUUUCAGUUUUCUGAACAGAAGAUGUAGAUCGUUAAUGAAAGGAAGUAUUUUAAUAACAAAAUCAACAACACAUAUACUCCUAUGUAAUGUCCUAAGGAAUAAUCACAAAUUUUAAUGCCUGUGUAAACUUAUACUAAUCCAUAGCUUAACAUUUAGUUACAGAUACUAUGUAAUGAGUAACAUGAUUUUUCUGAAAAAUUAAAACUACUAGCCACGAGGGUACAAAUGUCUCUGUUGCUUAUAGAUAAAUCUAU
rnacentral:lncRNA from 1 species